rnacentral:snoRNA from 1 species
UUCCUCUCGGGGUCGCACGUGGAGAGUUGCCAGUCCUCUACCAGUCUCGGCUACGGGAGGGAGAGUCAAGCAGAGGCCUGUCCGUUCCAUUCCUAGCUUGGCCAGUGGCUAGCGAGUGGAAGGCCAUCUGCUACAAGU